rnacentral:hammerhead_ribozyme from 1 species
AUCCAGAUGAUGAGUCCCAAAUAGGACGAAAUGCGCAUCCUGAAU